rnacentral:rRNA from 1 species
GACUACAGAGAUGCCACCCUGAAUGUGCCCAGUCUCAUUUAAUCUCAGAAGCUAAGCAAGACCAAACUUUUUAAUAUUUAGAUAGGAGAUUGUCUGGGAAUACUGGGUGCUGUAACCU